rnacentral:rRNA from 1 species
UAUCUCUGUAGAGUCUGCAUAUCAAUAAGCGGAGGAAAAGAAACUAACAAGGAUUCCCUUAGUAACGGCGAGUGAAGCGGGAAGAGCUCAAAUUUGAAAUCUUCAAGGUUCUACCUUGACGAAUUGUAGUUUAAAGAAGUGUUUUCUGUUAGAUGAGUAGCAAAAGUUCCUUGGAAUGGGACAUCAUAGAGGGUGAGAAUCCCGUAUUUGGUUAUUCAUUCUAGCUUUGUGAUACACUUUCAAAGAGUCGGAUUGUUUGGGAAUGCAGUCCAAAAUGGGUGGUAAAUUUCAUCUAAAGCUAAAUAUUGGCGAGAGACCGAUAGCGAACAAGUACCGUGAGGGAAAGAUGAAAAGAACUUUGAAAAGAGAGUUAAACAGUACGUGAAAUUGUCAAAAGGGAAGCGUUUGACACCAGUGUUGUUUUUCCGAAAAUCAAUUACGAAUGGCUUGAUUCUGUGUUGUAUUGACCUUAUCAGCUUUCUGCACUUUUUUCGAGUCUUUCUUAAUGCACUUUUUCGGUUAACAAGUCAACAUCAAUUUCUUUUGUUGUAAAAGAGUAUUCGGAAGGUGGCUUUCUUUUCGGAGAAAGUGUUUAUAGCCCUAUACUUCUACAAUCGGAGAGAUUGAGGUCUGCAGCGUAGAUCCUUCGGGGUUAGAUACACUUGUGCUAAGUUGUAGCUUUUCAUAGACAACUUGUUGACUAUGUUUAGUCAUGCGGCUUACUCGCUUGUGCUAUUUUACCUACGCUUAGGAUGUUGACGAGACUGUCGAUCUC